rnacentral:rRNA from 1 species
GACGAACGCUGGCGGCGUGCCUAAUACAUGCAAGUCGAGCGGACCGAACAGGAGCUUGCUCUUGUUCGGUUAGCGGCGGACGGGUGAGUAACACGUGGGUAACCUGCCCGUAAGACCGGGAUAACUCCGGGAAACCGGAGCUAAUACCGGAUAACACCGAAGACCGCAUGGUCUUUGGUUGAAAGGCGGCUUCGGCUGCCACUUACGGAUGGGCCCGCGGCGCAUUAGCUAGUUGGUGAGGUAACGGCUCACCAAGGCGACGAUGCGUAGCCGGCCUGAGGGGGUGACCGGCCACACUGGGACUGAGACACGGCCCAGACUCCUACGGGAGGCAGCAGUAGGGAAUCUUCCGCAAUGGACGAAAGUCUGACGGAGCGACGCCGCGUGAGCGAAGAAGGUCUUCGGAUCGUAAAGCUCUGUUGUUAGGGAAGAAGAAGCGUCGUUCGAACAGGGCGGCGCGGUGACGGUACCUAACGAGAAAGCCCCGGCUAACUACGUG